rnacentral:rRNA from 1 species
AUGGAACAUAGCAAGGAUCCAGGUCCGGAUGGCUUCCCCGUGGAAUUCUAUCAUAAUUUCUAGGAUAUCAUCAAGUCUGAUCUAUUAGAAUUGUUCAAUUGUCUUCAUGCCGAACAACUUGACUUAUUCAGGAUUAAUUUCGGUGAGAUUGCUUUAUUACCAAAAAUCAAGGAGGCUGAAAGAAUCCAGCAAUAUAGACCCAUAUUCCUUCUUAAUGCCAUCUUCAAGGUAUUCACCAAAGUGGCUACUAAUAGGCUCAACUCGGCAGCUGAGCAUGUCGUUCUUCCUUCUCAAAUGGCUUUCAUGCAAGGUAAAUAUACUUCACAGAGUAGUAAUCCUACAUGA